GGGAGACGGUUGUUUCGGAUUAUUGGGCGUAAGGGCGCGUGGGCUGCGGGGUAAGUCGGGUGUGAAAUCUCAGAGCUCAACUCUGAAACUGCACUCGAUACUGCUCUGCUUGAGGACUGGAGAGGAGAUUGGAAUUCACGGUGUAGCAGUGAAAUGCGUAGAUAUCGUGAGGAAGACCAGUGGCGAAGGCGGAUCUCUGGACAGUUCCUGACGCUGAGGCGCGAAGGCCAGGGGAGCAAACGGGAUUAGAUACCCCGGUAGUCCUGGCAGUAAACGGUGCACGUUUGGUGUGCGCGGAUUCGACCCCGUGCGUGCCGGAGCUAACGCGUUAAACGUGCCGCCUGAGGAGUACGGUCGCAAGAUUAAAACUCAAAGAAAUUGACGGGGGCCCGCACAAGCGGUGGAGUAUGUGGCUUAAUUCGAUGCAACGCGAAGAACCUUACCUGGGCUUGACAUGCAUCGUGUCGCCGGUGAAAGCCGGCUAGUGUAGCAAUACACGCUUUGCACAGGUGCUGCAUGGCUGUCGUCAGCUCGUGUCGUGAGAUGUUGGGUUAAGUCCCGCAACGAGCGCAACCCCUGUGAACUGUUGCUACCCAGCACCAUUUUGUUGCCAAUCCUGCCGAUUGGGCAAACAAGUGGAGGCAAAAUGGUGCUGGGGCACUCUGUUCAGACUGCCCUGUGAAACGGGGAGGAAGGUGGGGAUGACGUCAAGUCAGGAUGGCCCUUACGCCCAGGGCUGCACACGUACUACAAUGCUCAGUACAGAACGAACCGAAAUCGCGAGGUGGAGGAAAUCACUAAAACUGAGCCCAGUUCGGAUUGUAGGCUGCAACUCGCCUACAUGAAGCCGGAAUCGCUAGUAAUGGCGUAUCAGCUACGACGCCGUGAAUACGUUCCCGGGCCUUGUACACACCGCCCGUCACAUCAUGGGAGUCGCUUGUACCCGAAGUGUCUGUGCCAAUCCGCCUCGGCGGAAAGGCAGGGCCCUAAGGUAUGAGCGGUAACUGGGAUGAAGUCGUAACAAGGUAACC
rnacentral:rRNA from 1 species